AUAUUUUUGGCAGUGUGUACUACUAAAGAUAGGCUGUUGCAGAGAUUUGCAUGGCCCCUGUGCAGGGAUGAUACCCAAAUCUGCAAAGUGUUCCACAUUUUU
rnacentral:snRNA from 1 species